rnacentral:lncRNA from 1 species
GUAAAACAAACAUAAGUACAAUCCAAUAAAAGCUCAAAAAACUACACUUCAAACAAAAGCUAAAUCAAGAGUGGCGGCUGUACUUCAUUUCCCAUUCUCUUCAAAGCACCUUCAAAGGAAGCUAAGUAAAAAGGGGGUGUGGCAACUGUUGCUCAAGCAAAGAAAAAGGAAAUUAGAUCCUCUCAAGGUGGCUUCUGAACUUCCAUCCUCAUUCGUAGCCCCUCCAUCAUGAAAGUACAGAAAUGAAACUGAGCGUGUGGCGGCUAUUGGACACACCUCGCUUUUUCUUAAUUGCUCUCAACCUACUGGACUCUCUCACGCUGAAAACGUAUGUCCCUCCCAACUGUGGCAGUCCAGCCCACGUGAGCUCCAUGCUCUUUAUUCCUACAGGCCGUGACAACGUUUGCUGGAUGUGUGCUUUCCUUUUUCUCAGCCCAAUGAACCAGCCUCCAAGCUAAGUCAAUUACCGUGGGCACCUCUUCGCUCAUUAUCGUGGGCCCUUGCAUUGCUACGUGCUGCCAUUUUUUUUUUAUAUUUUGGACGUCACCAUAAUGUGCUCCUCCUUGACAACAUCUUGUGCCAGCAUUAGGAGUGUGAAGAUGUGGCCAUUUUGAACGUGCAACCUCCCUCUUCACGUAUUGGACACAUGAGAGCACUCUCCAUUUUCAGCCUAUCACGUGACAAUCAAUCAGCCCAUGCUUUUUUUUUUCCUCCCAAGCUGCUGUGUGCACCCUCUUAUUCUUCUUGAAGCACCCCGUUCUCCAAAGCCUAAAGAGUAAAAUCACCUAAGUGCCCUCCU